AGUGGCGAACGGGUGCGUAACGCGUAUGCAACCUACCUUCAUCAGGGGGAUAGCCCGGAGAAAUUCGGAUUAACACCGCAUAAAAACACAGUACGGCAUCGUACAAUGUUCAAAUAUUAAUAGGAUGAAGAUGGGCAUGCGUGUCAUUAGCUAGUUGGUAAGGUAACGGCUUACCAAGGCGACGAUGACUAGGGGAUCUGAGAGGAUGACCCCCCACACUGGUACUGAGACACGGACCAGACUCCUACGGGAGGCAGCAGUAAGGAAUAUUGGUCAAUGGAGGCAACUCUGAACCAGCCAUGCCGCGUGCAGGAAGACUGCCCUAUGGGUUGUAAACUGCUUUUAUACGGGAAUAAACCUAUCUACGAGUAGAUAGCUGAAUGUACUGUAAGAAUAAGGAUCGGCUAACUCCGUGCCAGCAGCCGCGGUAAUACGGAGGAUCCAAGCGUUAUCCGGAUUUAUUGGGUUUAAAGGGAGCGUAGGCGGCCGUUUAAGUCAGAGGUGAAAACUUGCAGCUCAACUGUAAGCUUGCCUUUGAUACUGAAUGGCUUGAAUGAACUUGAGGUAGGCGGAAUGUGACAAGUAGCGGUGAAAUGCAUAGAUAUGUCACAGAACACCAAUUGCGAAGGCAGCUUACUAAGGUUUAAUUGACGCUGAGGCUCGAAAGCGUGGGGAUCAAACAGGAUUAGAUACCCUGGUAGUCCACGCCCUAAACGAUGAUAACUCGAUGUUGGCGAUAUACAGUCAGCGUCCAAGCGAAAGCGUUAAGUUAUCCACCUGGGGAGUACGCCCGCAAGGGUG
rnacentral:rRNA from 1 species